UGAUCCUUCUGAAGGAGAGAGAUGUGACAUUAGAUUGAGGCAAGGAGAGAGAAAAAAUUCUAGUUUAAUUUUAAAGAUGAAUUCUAAGCGUUUUUAUUGCGUUGACAUUUAUAAUGUAUCUCUUUCUGUAAGAGAUUCCGGCCUGUCAGCUUUUUUUUGUUCCUGUCUGUCUCUUGCUUUCACUGUUUUGUGAAAAGAGACACAAAAAGGAAGGAAGGAGAGAGAGUGUCACAGAACGACAGAGAGAAAAAUCAAUAAGAGGGGAGGGAAGAAGGGUAAGACAAACACGAGCCUGUCAGCAAGAGUGUUGCUUGUUUUCAGAAGGAGCUGAGAACAAAGAAGUGAAGGUGAAAAUGGUUCGCUGGUUCCACAGGGAUAUCUCUGGCUUGGAUGCUGAGUCUGUUUUGAAGAGCCGGGGCGUCCAUGGCAGCUUCCUGGCCCGACCCAGCAGGAAGAACCAGGGAGACUUCUCUCUCUCUGUCAGGGUGGGUGAGCUGGUGACCCACAUCCGUAUCCAAAACACAGGGGACUUCUACGACCUGUAUGGAGGGGAGAAGUUUGCCACGCUGUCCGAGCUGGUGGAGUACUACACUGCAGAGAACGGGAUCCUGCAGGACAAAGACGGCACCAUCAUCGAGCUCAAAUACCCCUUCAACUGCUCUGACCCCACCACCGAGAGGUGGUAUCACGGACACCUGUCAGGCCCCAACGCAGAGAAGUUGCUAUGGGAACGGGACGAGCCGGGCACCUUCCUGGUGCGGGAGUCUCUGUCCAAACCUGGAGACUUUGUUCUGUCUGUUCUGACUGAGGAGAAGAGCAAGGCAUCCUGCGGAGGGAGGAGGGUCUCACACAUCAAGAUCAUGUGCCAGAAUGACCGGUACACGGUGGGAGGCACAGAGAUGUUUGACACCCUGGCUGACCUGAUGGAGCACUACAAACGCAAAGGCAUCGAGGAGAUGUCUGGAACCUGGGUGCACCUCAAACAGCCCUACUUUUCCACCAGAGUGAAUGCAGCAGACAUUGACAGCAGAGUGAGGCUGCUGGACCAGAUGGCCGAGAGAGAGAACGAGGGAGACAAGAAGAGCAAAGCAGGAUUCUGGGAGGAGUUUGAUGCCCUUCAAAAGCAGGAGACAAAGGUGAAGAAGAGCAGAGAAGAAGGGAUGAGACCAGAAAACAAAAGCAAAAACCGAUAUAAGAACAUCCUUCCCUUUGAUGAGACCAGGGUCAUUCUGUCAUCUGGAGACCCCAAUAUCAUUGGCUCAGAUUACAUCAAUGGCAACUAUGUGACAAAUAAGCUGCAGGAGCCCAGUGACCAGAAGGUGUACAUCGCCUGUCAGGGCUGCCUUGCAACAACUGUCAACGAUUUCUGGCAGAUGGUGUGGCAGGAGAGGACAAGGAUCAUCGUCAUGACAACCAGGGAGGUCGAGAAGGGACGGAAUAAAUGCGUGCCAUACUGGCCAGAAAUGCAGGGCUCCAAAGAGGUGGGGCCGUAUGUGGUCACUUGGGUCUCUGAGAGAGAUGCCACUGACUACAAGAUCAGGGUUAUGGAGAUCUCCCCUCUGGAUCAGUCGGACUCGGCCCGUACUAUCUGGCACUACCAGUACCUGAGCUGGCCCGACCAUGGAGUUCCCGAGGAGCCAGGAGGGGUGCUCAGCUUCCUCACUCAGGUCAACACAAAACAGGCCGAGUUCGCCAACGCCGGGCCAAUGAUCAUCCACUGCAGUGCUGGAAUAGGCCGAACUGGCACCAUUGUGGUGAUCGACAUGAUCAUCGAGACCAUCGACACGAAAGGUCUGGACUGUGACAUAGACAUCCAGAAGAGCAUUCAGAUGGUGAGAGACCAGCGGUCAGGCAUGGUGCAGACUGAAGCCCAGUACAAGUUCAUCUACCUGGCCGUCUCUGAGUACAUAGAGGCCUCCAAGACCUACAACAAGGGAGCUGAGACAGAGUAUGGAAAUUUGCAGUUCAAACACCAGCCUGCCAGCCGCAAGGUCUCCAAGUGAGUUUGUAUAGUGUGUGUCUGUGCACAUGCCAUUGGAGUUCCGUGCAUAUUCCCAUCUCUCCUCAAAACCACAUUGGGUCAACGUUCUCUGGCGCAGGCUACACAGUGUAAGAGACACACACACACAGAGAGGAGGUUAGGUAGAGAGAGACAGAAGAGAGAGAUAGUGAGAGACACACACAGAGAGAGAGGUUAGGUAGAGAGACACGGAAGAGAGAGAUAGUGAGAGACACACACACAGAGAGAGAGGUUAGGUAGAGAGACACGGAAGGGAGAUAUAGUGAGAGACACACACACAGACAGAGAGGUUAGGUAGAGAGACACGGAAGAGAGAGAUAGUGAGAGACACACACAGAGAGAGAGAGGUUAGGUAGAGAGACACGGAAGAGAGAGAUAGUGAGAGACACACACAGAGAGGAGGUUAGGUAGAGAGACACGGAAGAGAGAGAUAGUGAGAGACACACACACAGAGAGAGAGGUUAGGUAGAGAGACACGGAAGAGAGAGAUAGUGAGAGACACACACACACAGAGAGGAGGUUAGGUAGAGAGACACGGAAGAGAGAGAUAGUGAGAGACACACACAGAGAGAGAGGUUAGGUAGAGAGACACGGAAGAGAGAGAUAGUGAGAGACACACACAGAGAGGAGGUUAGGUAGAGAGACACGGAAGAGAGAGAUAGUGAGAGACACACACACAGAGAGAGAGGUUAGGUAGAGAGACAGAAGAGAGAGAUAGUGAGAGACACACACACAGAGAGAGAGGUUAGGUAGAGAGACACGGAAGAGAGAGAUAGUGAGAGACACACACACAGAGAGAGAGGUUAGGUAGAGAGACACGGAAGGGAGAUAUAGUGAGAGACACACACACAGACAGAGAGGUUAGGUAGAGAGACACGGAAGAGAGAGAUAGUGAGAGACACACACACAGAGAGAGAGGUUAGGUAGAGAGACACGGAAGAGAGAGAUAGUGAGAGACACACACACAGAGAGAGGAGGUUAGGUAGAGAGACACGGAAGAGAGAGAUAGUGAGAGACACACACAGAGAGAGAGGUUAGGUAGAGAGACACGGAAGAGAGAGAUAGUGAGAGACACACACAGAGAGGAGGUUAGGUAGAGAGACACGGAAGAGAGAGAUAGUGAGAGACACACACACAGAGAGAGAGGUUAGGUAGAGAGACACGGAAGAGAGAGAUAGUGAGAGACACACACACACAGAGAGGAGGUUAGGUAGAGAGACACGGAAGAGAGAGAUAGUGAGAGACACACACACAGAGAGAGAGGUUAGGUAGAGAGACACGGAAGAGAGAGAUAGUGAGAGACACACACAGAGAGAGAGAGGUUAGGUAGAGAGACACGGAAGAGAGAGAUAGUGAGAGACACACACACAGAGAGAGAGGUUAGGUAGAGAGACACGGAAGGGAGAUAUAGUGAGAGACACACACACAGACAGAGAGGUUAGGUAGAGAGACACGGAAGAGAGAGAUAGUGAGAGACACACACACAGAGAGAGAGGUUAGGUAGAGAGACACGGAAGAGAGAGAUAGUGAGAGACACACACACAGAGAGAGGAGGUUAGGUAGAGAGACACGGAAGAGAGAGAUAGUGAGAGACACACACAGAGAGAGAGGUUAGGUAGAGAGACACGGAAGAGAGAGAUAGUGAGAGACACACACAGAGAGGAGGUUAGGUAGAGAGACACGGAAGAGAGAGAUAGUGAGAGACACACACACAGAGAGAGAGGUUAGGUAGAGAGACACGGAAGAGAGAGAUAGUGAGAGACACACACACAGAGAGAGAGGUUAGGUAGAGAGACACGGAAGAGAGAGAGAGAGGUUAGGUAGAGAGAGACGGAAAAGAGAGAGAGGUUCGGUGGAGAGAGGAGAGAGAGAGAGAGAGAGAGAGAGAGAGAGAGAGAGAGAGAGAGAGAGAGAGAGAGAGAGAGAGAGAGAGAGAGAGAGAGAGAGAGAGAGAGAGAGAGAGAAAGAGAGAGAGUGGAUGUGGACUUUCUCACCUCUGUCUCCUAAUGAGCCUGGCUCCUAUAAGCCAUAUUGAAAAUGGGACCAUUGUUUAUCAUCGUCGUCCCCCGUGUCUCUCCAUCCCUCUCCAUCCUUCCAUCCAUCCUGGUUAUACAGCUGGCUAUAGGGAUCACCCUGGUUAUACAGCACGGUUCACCCUGCUUAUACAGCUGGCUGUAGGGAUCACCCUGGUUAUACAGCUGGCUAUAGGGAUCAGAGUUCUUCCUGGUCAGAUGACAUGGUCAGGAAAGACUCUGGGCCCUAGUAAUGAAAGAGCCCCCGAGGCACCCACCUCAUGUAUAAUCAAACCCCAGUCUCUAGUACAGUAGAGUACACCACAGUAUAACACCUGUCUCUAGUACAGUAUAGUACACCACAGUGUAACCCCUGUCUCUAGUACAGUAUAAUACACCACAGUAUAACACCCGUCACUAGUACAGUAUAAUACAACACAGUAUAACCCGUCUCUAGUACAGUAUAGUACACCACAGUAUAACACCUGUCUCUAGUACAGUAUAGUACACCACAGUGUAACCCCUGUCUCUAGUACAGUAGAGUACAACACAGUGUAACCCCUGUCUCUAGUACAGUAUAAUACACCACAGUAUAACACCUGUCUCUAGUACAGUAUAAUACACCACAGUAUAACACCUGUCUCUAGUACAGUAUAGUACACCACAGUAUAACACCUGUCUCUAGUACAGUAUAGUACACCACAGUGUAACCCCUGUCUCUAGUACAGUAGAGUACAACACAGUGUAACCCCUGUCUCUAGUACAGUAUAAUACACCACAGUAUAACACCUGUCUCUAGUACAGUAUAGUACACCACAGUAUAACACCUGUCUCUAGUACAGUAUAGUACACCACAGUAUAACACCUGUCUCUAGUACAGUAUAAUACACCACAGUGUAACCCGUCUCUAGUACAGUAUAAUACACCACAGUGCAAACCGUCUCUAGUACAGUAUAAUACACCACAGUGUAACCCCUGUCUCUAGUACAGUAUAGUACACCACAGUGUAACACCUGUCUCUAGUACAGUAUAAUAUACCACAGUGUAACCCCUGUCUCUAGUACAGUAUAGUACACCACAGUGUAACACCUGUCUCUAGUACAGUAUAAUAUACCACAGUGUAACCCCUGUCUCUAGUACAGUAUAAUAUACCACAGUGUAACCCCUGUCUCUAGUACAGUAUAAUACACCACAGUGUAACCCGUCUCUAGUACAGUAUAGUACACCACAGUGUAACACCUGUCUCUAGUACAGUAUAGUACACCACAGUGUAACCCCUGUCUCUAGUACAGUAUAAUACACCACAGUGUAACCCCUGUCUCUAGUACAGUAUAGUACACCACAGUGUAACCCCUGUCUCUAGUACAGUAUAAUACACCACAGUGUAACCCGUCUCUAGUACAGUAUAAUACACCACAGUAUAACACCUGUCUCUAGUACAGUAUAGUACACCACAGUGUAACACCUGUCUCUAGUACAGUAUAAUACACUACAGUGUAACCCCUGUCUCUAGUACAGUAUAAUACACCACAGUGUAACCCGUCUCUAGUACAGUAUAGUACACCACAGUGCAAACCGUCUCUAGUACAGUAUAAUACACCACAGUAUAACCCGUCUCUAGUACAGUAUAAUACACCACAGUGUAACCCCUGUCUCUAGUACAGUAUAGUACACCACAGUAUAACACCUGUCUCUAGUACAGUAUAGUACACCACAGUGUAACCCGUCUCUAGUACAGUAUAAUACACCACAGUAUAAAUCAAAUUUCAAAUCAAAUUUAUUUAUAUAGCCCUUCGUACAUCAGCUGAUAUCUCAAAGUGCUGUACAGAAACCCAGCCUAAAACCCCAAACAGCAAACAAUGCAGGUGUAAAAGCACGGUAUAACACCUGUCUCUAGUACAGUAUAGUACACUACAGUGUAACCCCUGUCUCUAGUACAGUAUAAUACACCACAGUGUAACACCCGUCUCUAGUACAGUAUAAUACAACACAGUAUAACCCGUCUCUAGUACAGUAUAAUACACCACAGUGUAACACCCGUCUCUAGUACAGUAUAAUAUACCACAGUGUAACACCCGUCUCUAGUACAGUAUAGUACACCACAGUAUAACCCGUCUCUAGUACAGUAUAGUACACCACAGUAUAACCCGUCUCUAGUACAGUAUAGUACACCACAGUAUAACACCUGUCUCUAGUACAGUAUAAUACACCACAGUAUAACACCUGUCUCUAGUACAGUAUAGUACACCACAGUAUAACCCGUCUCUAGUACAGUAUAAUACACCACAGUGUGAGUCUGGCACUGGCUUGACAUGGGUAGCUCACUGCCCUAAGUUGUGUUGGAAAAACUGUUGGUUGGUUCAUCCAUUUAUCUAAUUAGAGUACAGUAGAACGUCUUCCCCGCUGGCCUCUAGUGCCUGCCUGGCCAAGGCUACGGCCACUCAAACAUGUAGGUAAGCUCACAAUCCAGUAUGGUGUCGGUAAGCUCACAAUCCAGUAUGGUGUAGGUAAGCUCACAAUCCAGUAUGGUGUAGGUAAGCUCACAAUCCAGUAUGGUGUAGGUAAGCUCACAAUCCAGUAUGGUGUAGGUAAGCUCACAAUCCAGUAUGGUGUAGGUAAGCUCACAAUCCAGUAUGGUGUAGGUAAGCUCACAAUCCAGUAUGGUGUAGGUAAGCUCACAAUCCAGUAUGGUGUAGGUAAGUUCACAAUCCAGUAUGGUGUAGGUAAACUCACAAUCCAGUAUGGUGUAGGUAAGCUCACAAUCCAGUAUGGUGUAGGUAAACUCACAAUCCAGUAUGGUGUAGGUAAGCUCACAAUCCAGUAUGGUGUAGGUAAGCUCACAAUCCAGUAUGGUGUAGGUAAACUCACAAUCCAGUAUGGUGUAGGUAAGCUCACAAUCCAGUAUGGUGUAGGUAAGCUCACAAUCCAGUAUGGUGUAGGUAAGCUCACAAUCCAGUAUGGUGUAGGUAAGCUCACAAUCCAGUAUGGUGUAGGUAAACUCACAAUCCAGUAUGGCGUGGUAAGCUCACAAUCCAGUAUGGUGUGGGUAAGCUCACAAUCCACUGUGGUGUGGGUAAGUUUACAAUCCAGAAUUCACUGGAGAGCUCUGAGCUGGCUAUGUACGGUAUGAAAUGUGUCACUGUCACCACUUCUGAGUGUAUAUCUCAUAAGCUAGGCCAAACCUGUUUUUACCUGUUGUGGGGCAGUGAUGGUAUGGUCAGGGUACUGUCAGGGUAGUGUUUGGUUCUGUCAGGGUAAUGUUUGGUAGGGUCAGGGUAAUGUCAGGGUAGUGUUUGGUAGGGUCAGGGUAAUGUCAGGGUAGUGUUUGGUACUGUCAGGGUAGUGUUUGGUAGGGUCAGGGUACUGUCAGGGCACUGUUUGUUAGGGUCAGGGUAGUGUCAGGGUACUGUCAUGGUAGUGUUUGGUAGGGUCAGGGUACGGUCAGGGUACUGUCAGAGUAGUGUUUGGUACGGUCAGGAUACUGUCAGGGUACUGUUUGGUAGGGUCAGGGUAGUGUCAGGGUAGUGUCAGGGUAGUGUUUGGUAGGGUCAGGGUACUGUCAGGGUAGUAUUUGGUAUGGCCAGGGUACUGUUAGGUAAGGUCAGGGUACUGUUAGGGUAGUGUUUGGUAUGGCCAGGGUACUUUUAGGGUAGUGUUUGGUAAGGUCAGGGUACUGUCAGGGUAGUGUUUGGUACAGUCAGGGUUGUGCCAGGGUAGUGUUUGGUACUGUCAGGGUAAUGUUUGGUAGGGUCAGGGUAAUGUCAGGGUAGUGUUUGGUACUGUCAGGGUAGUGUUUGGUAGGGUCAGGGUAAUGUCAGGGUAGUGUUUGGUACUUUCAGGCUAGUGUUUGGUAUGGUCAGGGUACUGUCAGGGCACUGUUUGUUGGGGUCAGGGUAGUGUUAGGGUACUGUCAGGGUACUGUUUGGUAGGGUCAGGGUACUGUCAGUGUACUGGCAGUGUAGUGUCAGGGUAGUGUCUAGUAGGGUCAGGGUACUGACAGGGUAGUGUUUGGUAUGGCCAGAGUACUUUUAGGUAAGGUCAGGGUACUGUCAGGGUAGUGUUUGGUAGGGUCAGGGUAGUGUCAGGGUAGUGUUUGGUUCUGUCAGGGUAAUGUUUGGUAGGGUCAGGGUAAUGUCAGGGUAGUGUUUGGUAGGGUCAGGGUAAUGUCAGGGUAGUGUUUGGUACUGUCAGGCUAGUGUUUGGUAUGGUCAGGGUACUGUCAGGGCACUGUUUGUUGGGGUCAGGGUAGUGUCAGUGUACUGUCAGUGUAGUGUCAGGGUAGUGUCUGGUAGGGUCAGGGUACUGACAGGGUAGUGUUUGGUAUGGCCAGGGUACUGUCAGGGUAGUGUUUGGUAAGGUCAAGGUAGUGUUUUGCACGGUCAGGGUAGUGUCAGGGAAGUGUUUGGUACAGUCAGGGUAGUGUCAGGGUAGUGUUUGGUACGGUCAGGGUAGUGUUUGGUACGGUCAGGGUACUGUCAGGGCACUGUUUGUUAUGGUCAGGGUAGUGUUAGGGUACUGUCAGGGCAGUGUUUGGUAGGGUCAGGGUACUGACAGGGUAGUGUUUGGUACGGUCGGGGUAGUGUCAGGGUAGUGUUUGGUAGGGUCAGGGUACUGUUAGGGUAGUGUUUGGUAUGGUCAGGGUAGUGUUUGGUAUGGCCAGAGUACUGUUACGGUAGUGUUUGGUAAGGUCAAGGUAGUGUUUGGUACGGUCAGGGUAGUGUCAGGGAAGUGUUUGGUACGGUCAGGGUACUGUUAGGUAAGGUCAGGGUACUGACAGGGUAGUGUUUGGUAGGGUCGGGGUAGUGUCAGGGUAGUGUUUGGUAGGGUCAGGGUACUGUCAGUGUAGUGUUUGGUAUGGCCAGGGUAGUGUUUGGUACGGUCAGGUUAGUGUCAGGGUAGUGUUUGGUACUGUCAGGGUAGUGUUUGUUACGGUCAGGGUACUGUUAGGUAAGGUCAGGGUACUGACAGGGUAAUGUUUGGUACGGUCGGGGUAGUGUUUGGUAGGGUCAGGGUACUGUUAGGGUAGUGUUUGGUAUGGCCAGGGUAGUGUUUGGUACGGUCAGGUUAGUGUCAGGGUAGUGUUUGGUACUGUCAGGGUAGUGUUUGUUACGGUCAGGGUACUGUCAGGGUAGUGUUUGGUAGGGUCAGGGUAGUGUUUGGUAGGGUCAGGGUACUGUCAGGGUAGUGUUUGGUAGGGUCAGAGUACUGUCAGGGUAGUGUUUGGUAGGGUCAGGGUACUGUUAGGGUAGUGUUUGGUAUGGCCAGGGUAGUGUUUGGUACGGUCAGGUUAGUGUCAGGGUAGUGUUUGUUUGGUACUGUCAGGGUAGUGUUUGUUACGGUCAGGGUACUGUCAGGGUAGUGUUUGGUAGGGUCGCGGUACUGUUUGGUAGGGUUAGGAUAGGGUCCGGGUAGUGUUUGGUAGGGUCAGGGUACUGUCAGGGUAGUGUUUGGUAGGGUUAGGAUAGGGGCAGGGUAGUGUUUGGUAGGGUCAGGGUACUGUUUAGUAGUGUCAGGGUAGUGUUUGGUAGGGUUAGGGUAGGGUCAGCGUACUGUUUGGUAGGGUUAGGAUAGGGUCCGGGUAGUGUUUGGUAGGGAUAUGAUAUGCUCAGGGUAGUGUUUGGUAGGUGUUAGGAUAAGGUCAGGGUAGUGUUUGGUACAGUCAGGAUAGAGUCAGGGUAGUGUUUGGUAGGAUUAGGAUAGGGCCAGUGUAGUGUUUGGUAGGGUUAGGAUAGGGUCCGGGUAGUGUUUGGUAGGGUUAGGGUAGGGUCAGCGUACUGUUUGGUAGGGUUAGGAUAGGGUCCGGGUAGUGUUUGCUAGGGUCGCGGUACUGUUUGGUAGGGUUAGGAUAGGGUCCGGGUAGUGUUUGGUAGGGUCAGGGUACUGUCAGGGUAGUGUUUGGUAGGGUUAGGAUAGGGUCAGGGUACUGUUUGGUAGGGUCAGGGUACUGUUUGGUAGUGUCAGGGUAGUGUUUGGUAGGGUUAGGGUAGGGUCAGCGUACUGUUUGGUAGGGUUAGGAUAGGGUCAGGGUAGUGUUUGGUAGGGUUAGGAUUGGGUCAGGGUAGUGUUUGGUAGGGUUAGGAUUGGGUCAGGGUAGUGUUUGGUAGGGAUACGAUAUGCUCAGGGUAGUGUUUGGUAAGUGUUAGGAUAAGGUCAGGGUAGUGUUUGGUACGGUCAGGGUAGUGUUUGGUAUGAUUAGGAUAGGGUCAGGGUAGUGUUUGGUAGGGUUAGGAUAGGGUCAGGGUAGUGUUGGGUAGGGUAGGGUCGGGGUAGUGUUUGGUAGGGAUAUGAUAUGCUCAGGGUAGUGUUUGGUAGGUGUUAGGAUAAGGUCAGGGUAGUGUUUGGUAGGUGUUAGGAUAAGGUCAGGGUAGUGUUUGGUACAGUCAGGAUAGAGUCAGGGUAGUGUUUGGUAGGAUUAGGAUAGGGUCAGGGUAGUGUUUGGUAGGGUUAGGAUAGGGUCAGGGUAGUGUUGGGUCGGGUCGGGGUAGUGUUUGGUAUGGGUUAGGAUAGGGUCAGGGUAGUGUUGGGUAGGUUCAGGGUAGUGUUUGGUAUGGGUUAGGAUAGGGUCUGGGUAGUGUUUGGUAGGCUACUACUAAUUGAAGAUCUAAAGAGUGCUCCUUUUCUUACACACAAAGAAGCCUACAUUUUUUUUUUUUAUCUCUCAGCUAUUUGAAGCGCUAGGUUUCUAACAUUAUGUCCUCUCUCUUGUACUGUCUCUCUUUUAGAAACAAGGAACGGGAAUUGUAUGAAAACCUAGCCAAAGGAAAGAAAGAUGUGAAGAAGCAGAAAUCAGAGGAGAAGAAGAGUGGCUCUGUGAGAAAAAGAUAGAGGAUGAGAGAGCUGUAUCCUGAUGAUUUAAUAUUGAAUUUGAUAUUACAUUUUUAUUUUAAAAGAUUUAUCUUAGUGUUUUUUGAUAUCAAGUGAUAAAGUUGAUGUCUGUGAUAUAAUUGAGAUUAUAAAGCAAAGUACUGAUAGCGGUGAACCAUGGAACCAUUCUGCACCCAUGCAAAUGGUAAUGGUUUUAAAUGUUUGCUGACAAUAAAAGCUCAGAGUAAUAAGCA